UACAGAGGUCUCAAGCGUUGUUCGGAUUCAUUGGGCGUAAAGGGUGCGUAGGCGGCGCGGUAAGUCGGGUGUGAAAUUUCGGAGCUUAACUCCGAAACUGCAUUCGAUACUGCCGUGCUUGAGGACUGGAGAGGAGACUGGAAUUUACGGUGUAGCGGUGAAAUGCGUAGAUAUCGUAAGGAAGACCAGUGGCGAAGGCGGGUCUCUGGACAGUUCCUGACGCUGAGGCACGAAGGCCAGGGGGAGCAAAACGGG
rnacentral:rRNA from 1 species